UACAGAGGUCUCAAGCGUUGUUCGGAUUCAUUGGGCGUAAAGGGUGCGUAGGCGGCGCGGUAAGUCGGGUGUGAAAUCUUGGAGCUUAACUCCGAAACUGCAUUCGAUACUGCCGUGCUUGAGGACUGGAGAGGAGACUGGAAUUUACGGUGUAGCGGUGAAAUGCGUAGAUAUCGUAAGGAAGACCAGUGGCGAAGGCGGCGCUCUGGACCGAGACUGACGCUGAGGCGCGAAAGCGUGGGGAGCAAACAGG
rnacentral:rRNA from 1 species